rnacentral:rRNA from 1 species
ACGGAAGGCAGCAGUGGGGAAUAUUGCACAAUGGGGGAAACCCUGAUGCAGCGACGCCGCGUGAGUGAAGAAGUAUUUCGGUAUGUAAAGCUCUAUCAGCAGGGAAGAUAAUGACGGUACCUGACUAAGAAGCCCCGGCUAACUACGUGCCAGCAGCCGCGGUAAUACGUAGGGGGCAAGCGUUAUCCGGAUUUACUGGGUGUAAAGGGAGCGUAGACGGUUUGGCAAGUCUGAAGUGAAAGCCCGGGGCUCAACCCCGGUAUUGCUUUGGAAACUGUUGAACUAGAGUGCCGGAGGGGUAAGCGGAAUUCCUAGUGUAGCGGUGAAAUGCGUAGAUAUUAGGAGGAACACCAGUGGCGAAGGCGGCUUACUGGACGGUAACUGACGUUGAGGCUCGAAAGCGUGGGGAGCAAACAGGAUUAGAUACCCUGGUA